ACCCUGCCCGGGUGAGGAGGGGCUGCCAGCGGGGCAGGGAAGUGGGCUGAGAGCGGAGGUGGCGAGCGCAGGCCAGGGUCGGGAGGCGGGGCGAGGGCCAGGAACGCAGGCAAGGCGGCACAGCUGGGGUCAGGGCCCGGGUCCAGGGAGGAGGUACUGGGCUGAGGAAGGGGGUUCGGGGCCGGAGAUGCGUAGCCCGGCAGGCCUCGGUGCAUUGUUGCAGAAGGACGACGGCGGCAUGUGCGAGGGUCCUUCCCGCAUCUCGGGGCCCAUCCCCCCAGACACUACGCUCUGUCCUGACUACUACCGGCGGCCGGCCUCGGCCCAAGGGCGCCUUGAGGGAAGCACGCUGAAGUUGAGCCUGCUGACUCCGGACCCCGACCUAGACGCCACCCCUCCCCGCGGACCCCGCAUCGGUCCCGGAGCCCGAGAAAUCCUGGAGCGUGGCCGGCGCGGCGUGGGUGGCGUGCUGCUGCAGCUCGGGGGUAUUUCCCUAGGCCCAGGGGCCUCUCCCAAGAGGAAGGACCCUAAAGACCAUGAGAAGGAGAACCUGAGGCGGAUCAGGGAGAUCCAGAGGCGCUUCCGUGAGCAGGAGCACAGCCGGGAGCAGGACCAGUCCAGGCCCCUGAAGGCUCUCUGGCGCUCACCCAAGUAUGACAAAGUGAAGUCCCAUGUCAAGGCCCAGCUGCAGGAGCCCAGCCCUGCCUCUGGGACAGAGCCUGCCCAUUUCCUGAGGGCACAUUCCCGUUGCGGCCCUGGGUUCCCACCACCCCGUGUCCCCAGUCCCCAGCUAACCCCACCAGGUCCCAAUGCUAAGGGCCCAGGCCCAAGUGUGGACUUCAUUACCCACAAUGCUCGCACUGCGAAGAGGGCCCCCCGGCGUCAUUCUCGCUCGCUGCAAGUCCUGGCACAGGUGCUGGAGCAGCAACGGCAGGCCCAGGAGCACUACAACGCCACACAGAAGGGUCACGUUCCCCAUUAUCUGUUGCAUCGCAGCUUGUUGGAGCGGAGGGAUCUGUGGCGGCAGGAGGCUGAGGCCCGUCAGCACAGCCAGCCGGACCCGGCCAUGCCGCCUGGCCACACUUGCAUGCCUGAGAACCAGCGGCUGGAGACACUGAGCAAUCUGCUCCAGAGUGAGCCAGAGCCAGCUGCUUCAUGAGCUGGUGCUCUUGCCUGCUGGGGCGGAUUCACUGAGAGCCCAGAGCCAUCGUGCUGAGCUGGACCGGAAGCUGAUGCAGAAAUGCCAAGCCUGGUGUCCUUCCUGCUGAUUGACUACAGGAAGGUUUCUCUGCUGCCCUUAUCACUCCUCCACUCCUGCCUCAUGUCCAGGCCAGAAGGCAAGAUUGUGAGAUCAAGGAGGAGGCUAGGGCUGGGAAACAGAAGGACCAUAACUGCAUUUGUAGAAAACCUUUAAUGUUCCCCAGACUGAGAGGGCCCCAUGAGCAAGCUAAAAAACCCCACUGGGGAAGUCCCUGCCAUGUCCCAGCAGCCGGGAAGGGCAAGGGGCUGCAUCUUUGCCUGUCAGAGGCUGAAGCCACUACCAUUUCCUUGAAUGCUACUCCCCCAGCCAGAGCUGGCCUGCUCCUGAUCAUCCAGGGAGGGCAGAGAGCUGCGGGCAUCAGGAAGUAGGCGGCUUGGGCGCAGGUCCCAGCAUGGAGGCCCUUGAGACAGCCCAUUGGAACAGGGAGGCUCGCGGUUCUCAAUGAUCAGAUCGCUGCUGUCAUCGUCGCUAUCAGGCUCAGCAGGCCCAGGCCCAGCAGAAGGAGGCCCUGUCAGACGCCCAGAUGCCCCACGCACCACAUUAUUGCGCUGAUUGGCUGGCUUGACAGUGACAAUGAGGUUGUGGCUGUUCGCGACCAUCAUGUCUGUUACUUGGUCCAAGGUCUUCCCAGCUACCUCAAUGCCAUUGACCUCGAGGAUCUCAUCACUGACUGCCAGCAGCCCUGUACUCUCAGCCAGGCCCCCUCGUACCAGGCGGGAGAUGAAGAUGCCUGGAACCCGUUCCAGGCCCUGGGGAGCUACGCGCACACUCAUGCCAUCUCGGAUGUAGAAACCCAGGGGGCGGUCGGAACCAUGCUUAUGCAGCCGCACCCGUCGGUGGGUCUCAGGCAGUAGGUCCACAUCUAUGACUGAAGAAACCUGGCGGAAAUCUUGUGGCAGGCUGAUUAGCAGGGGUGGCCGCGUGCGCAGGGAUGCCACUGGCCGAACUAGGAGCCCUUUCUUGCGCCGCUGCAGAGAGUUGGAGGCAAAGGCCAGGCCACUGGAAUCAGCUUCUGCUGCAGGAGAGGGGGACGCUGAGAUCAGAGACCCUGCUUUCCCAUUUGGGCCCUUUUCCAUCAGGCCAAGGCCUGAGGAAGGGGGCACUGUAGCUACUUCCUGCCACUUGGAGGUCAGGCCAAGGGCAGGGACUGCAGAGGGUGAAGCCUGGGCACACUGGGCAUGGACUAACCCUUCUAGACUUGCCCUGUCACCCUACCCCACAGAGGCUGCCCACUGUACCCCAUCCUCCUCACCCCGCUUCUGCACUAGCAGGCGCAGCGGCGGGGGCCCACUGGCCAGGGCCCGGUGCAGGCUGUCGUCGUUGGUGAGGGGCAGUAGGUUGCCGUGAGCAUCCGUAUAGCCAAGCAGCACGUCCAGGCCCGGGAUCUGGUGUACCACACGCAGCAACCGAGAGAACUCUUGGAAGCCGCUCACCGAAGCGCGGGGCAGCGCGAAGCGUCGGAACUCGGCAUCAAACUG